rnacentral:rRNA from 1 species
AUACGGAGGGUGCAAGCGUUAAUCGGAAUUACGGGGCGUAAAGCGUACGUAGGCGGGUCGUUAAGUUAGAUGUGAAAGCCCCGGGCUUAACCUGGGAACUGCAUUUAAAACUGGCGGACUAGAGUUGAGUAGAGGGGAGUGGAAUUUCAGGUGUAGCGGUGAAAUGCGUGGAGAUCUGAAGGAACCCCAGUGGCGAAGGCGACUCCCUGGACUCGAACUGACGCUGAGGUACGAAAGCGUGGGUAGCAAACGGGAUUAGAAACCCCGGUAGUCC